rnacentral:rRNA from 1 species
GACGAACGCUGGCGGCGUGCUUAACACAUGCAAGUCGAACGGAAAGGCCCCCUUCUGGGGUACUCGAGUGUCGAACGGGAGAGUAACACGAGAGUAACCUACCCUUCACUUUGGGAUAAGUUCAGGAAACGGGGGCUAAUACCGGAUAGGAGCUCCUGCUGCACGGUGUGGGUUGGUAAUUUUGGGCGGUUGUGGUUGGACUCGCAGCUUAUCAGCUUGUUGGUGGGGUAGUGGCUCACGAAGCGGUUGACGGGUAGCCGGCCUUGGAGGGUGACCGGGGACAUGGGUCCUACGGUACGGACCAGACUCCUACGGGAGGCAGCGGUGGGGAAUAUUGCGCAAUGGGCGGAAGCGUGAUGCAGCAGCGCCGCGUGCGGGAAGACGGCCUUCGGGGUGUAAACCGCUUUCGCAUGUGACGAAGCGGGAGUGACGGUAAUGGGUAAAGAAGCACCGGCUAACUACGUG